AGAGUUUGAUCCUGGCUCAGAACGAACGCUGGCGGCGUGGAUAAGACAUGCAAGUCGCACGGAGAAAAGAUAGUUUACUAGCUUUUCUGAGUGGCGCACGGGUGAGUAACACGUGAGCAACCUGCCUCUUAGUGGAGGAUAGCCCUGGGAAACCGGGAUUAAUACCGCAUAUCAUCGCAAGAUGAAAGCAGCAAUGCGCUAAGAGAGGGGCUCGCGGCCUAUUAGUUAGUUGGUGAGGUAACGGCUCACCAAGGCGAUGACGGGUAGCCGGUCUGAGAGGAUGUCCGGCCACACUGGAACUGAGACACGGUCCAGACACCUACGGGUGGCAGCAGUCGAGAAUCAUUCACAAUGGGGGAAACCCUGAUGGUGCGACGCCGCGUGGGGGAAGAAGGUCUUCGGAUUGUAAACCCCUGUCAUGUGGGAGCAAGCUAGCAAUAGUUGAUAGUACCACAAGAGGAAGAGACGGCUAACUCUGUGCCAGCAGCCGCGGUAAUACAGAGGUCUCAAGCGUUGUUCGGAAUCACUGGGCGUAAAGGGUACGUAGGCUGUACCAUAAGUCGGGCGUGAAAGGCA
rnacentral:rRNA from 1 species